UACGGAGGGAGCUAGCGUUGUUCGGAAUUACUGGGCGUAAAGCGCGCGUAGGCGGCUUUGUAAGUUAGAGGUGAAAGCCCGGGGCUCAACUCCGGAAUUGCCUUUAAGACUGCAUCGCUAGAAUUGUGGAGAGGUAAGUGGAAUUCCGAGUGUAGAGGUGAAAUUCGUAGAUAUUCGGAAGAACACCAGUGGCGAAGGCGACUUACUGGACACAUAUUGACGCUGAGGUGCGAAAAGCG
rnacentral:rRNA from 1 species